UACGGAGGAUCCGAGCGUUAUCCGGAAUUAUUGGGUUUAAAGGGUGCGUAGGCGGCUCGCUAAGUCAGGGGUGAAAGACGGUGGCUCAACCAUCGCAGUGCCUUUGAUACUGGCGUGCUUGAAUGUACCUGAGGUAGGCGGAAUGUGGCAAGUAGCGGUGAAAUGCAUAGAUAUGCCACAGAACACCGAUUGCGAAGGCAGCUUACCAAAGUACGAUUGACGCUGAGGCACGAAAGCGUGGGGAUCGAACAGG
rnacentral:rRNA from 1 species